UCCGGACGGAGAAUCCUCUCCGCCCUCCUAUUUCCUCCCAUCCAGAAGCUGUCACGGAGCCACAAGGAAAGCAUCUGGACUCCUGGCAGGGCUGUCCCCAGUCCCCAGUCCCCAGUGCAGGACAGCCUGCUGGUCCCAUUUCUCAGUUAGAGCCGGCGCCGGCCCUGCCCACUCCAGGAAAUCCUGCCGCUGCUAUUUUGGGGAAGUUGAUGGCUUUUUUUUUUUUUUUUUUUUUUUUUUUUUUUUUUCUGGUCCUUCGGAGAGCCUGACAGAUGGCCACUGAUUUGUGCGAUGCAUUUCCAUGGUGGUGUCGGAGGCUCUCCAACAGAUUCUUCCUGCUCCGUCAGACACUGCAGCCAGAUUUGCUCCUUCAGUAAAUAUUUAAGGAAAGCCUGCAGCACACACGGCUCAGCAAGAGGCGCCAGGAGAGGAAUCAAAUGCCGUUUAUUGGCUAUGUGUCAUGCAGCGGGGGAGGAGAUUGCAGGUCUGGAGAGAUGGCUUUGCAGUUAAGAGAGCAACAGCUGCUUUUCCAGAGGAGUGGAAUCCAGUUCCCGACGCCCAUGACAACUACCUCUGACUCCAUUGGAGCUGAUGUCCUCUGCUGGCCUCCACAGGUACCCAUGAUGCUUUCAGCUGACAUGGUCCACGGCCUCCCUUCUCUAGUCUGUCCUCCCGGGAGGCUUUAGUUGUGUCUGAACAGACAAGCUUCACACCUCUAAGACUACCUCCCGGUCUCAUUUUAGCCAGAGGGAGCACAGAGCAGCCAUGAGGGUGGACACAGCAGACGGAUCCGGGGCCACUCUGGGGUCUCUUAGGACCUGGGCUCUGGGACGCCCAUCUCUCCAGCGGGUCUUUGCCCGGCCUCAGCUGUGCAUCAGUUGGCAAAGCCAUGUUCCUUUGACACUUAUCUUUCCUGACCCAAAAGAAUCCAGGUCUCCCAGACUCUGUAUGCUGCCCCCAGAUCCCCAAUCUACCAAACGACGUGGUUAGCAUGUAUGUAUACACACAUGCACACACAGCUCUAAGGCACAAGUCCCUCCACUCCUGGGCAGAGGGACCCCCAGGCUCCCAAUGUCUCUCCCUCUCUCCCCUGACCUUCUCUGCCCCCACCAUACAACCUCCCCAGAUUUAACCACGGCUCUGACUCUGUCCCUUUAUCAUCACUGAGAAUGCUGUAGCGUGGUGCGGGCUAACUGGGCAGAGAGGGACCUACUAGCGUGGCGUCUCCUUAGGCCCCAGGCUGUUGCCACUCCCCAGCUAGACAAACUGAGAAUGGCAAGCCCCAGGGCACAACAAAUGUUCCAAAAUGAAGGAGACUAGGGCCAAUGAGGAAGCAGGGUGUAGGAGGCUGGGGGGGUAGGUGGGUGGAGAAAGAAGGGGUGGGCUAAUUCAGGCAUGGGCCCCCUCAGGAGUGAGUGAUGCCGCAGCCUCAAGGGGCUAGCAAUCCAAGGUGGCCGGUAUGCCAGGAAGAUGCUGUCCCUUAUUAGAGUAGACAACACACAAGACCCUGCUCCAGGAAAACCUAGAGAACUCAGCCAGGAAAUAGUCCAGUCCCUUCUAAAUAGUCCCUUCUAUAUGCCAAUGCAUUAUAGUUCUAGAUAAUAACUCUCACAGCUUUGGCUUGGAGACCUGGGCACCUAUGGGGUUGGUGUUAGGAUCCUGCCUUCACUCCUGUUUAUGCGAAGCUUGGGGUCUUGCGUCCUACGUCAUCGGGGACGCUGGCGACUACGUACAAGCCUUAAAAAGCCGGAUGCAGACCCCACACUCUCUGCUCCCUGCUCUGCUCCCCUCUUCCCCCACCCCACCAUCUUUCUCUCUCACCGGGUCUGGUCCCCUCUGCCCCCCUUUCUCUCCUAAUAAAGCUCUGAAUACUGAUACUGGGUUCUAUCGUGACCCUGACCUUUCCAUGCGGUAACCAGUGCCGCCAC